UGGUGACAGGUGAAAGGUGUCGCUAAAAAUAUCUUAAAGCUGACAGCAAAGUCAGGUUUAAGAUAUUGCACUUUAACAAUCCGGAACAAGCUGAAAAUUGAAAUGUUCAUUCUCCGUAAUCAGAAUGAAAUCACGAUAUGUUCGAGUCUCUCAAUGCCUGCAACCGACACACGUCUUUCGGGACGCUUGUGGGUUGUGAGGUUAAGCGACUAAGCGUACACGGUGGAUGCCCAGGCAGUCAGAGGCGAUGAAGGGCGUGCUAAUCUGCGAUAAGCGUCGGUAAGGUGAUAUGAACCGCAAUACCCGACGAUACCCGAAUGGGGAAACCCAGUGCAAUCGUUGCACUAUCAUGUCAUGAAUACAUAGUGGCAUGAGGCCGAACCGGGGGAACUGAAACAUCUAAGGUACC
rnacentral:misc_RNA from 1 species